rnacentral:rRNA from 1 species
CAAUCCUGGUGGCGAGUGGCGAACGGGUGAGUAAUAUAUCGGAACGUGCCCAGUCGUGGGGGAUAACGUAGCGAAAGCUACGCUAAUACCGCAUACGAUCCAUGGAUGAAAGCGGGGGAUCGCAAGACCUCGCGCGAUUGGAGCGGCCGAUAUCAGAUUAGGUAGUUGGUGGGGUAAAAGCUUACCAAGCCUGCGAUCUGUAGCUGGUCUGAGAGGACGACCAGCCACACUGGAACUGAGACACGGUCCAGACUCCUACGGGAGGCAGCAGUGGGGAAUUUUGGACAAUGGGCGCAAGCCUGAUCCAGCAAUGCCGCGUGCAGGAUGAAGGCCUUCGGGUUGUAAACUGCUUUUGUACGGAACGAAACGGCUCUUUCUAAUACAGGGAGCUAAUGACGGUACCGUAAGAAUAAGCACCGGCUAACUACGUGCCAGCAGCCGCGGUAAUACGUAGGGUGCGAGCGUUAAUCGGAAUUACUGGGCGUAAAGCGUGCGCAGGCGGUUAUGUAAGACAGAUGUGAAAUCCCCGGGCUCAACCUGGGACCUGCAUUUGUGACUGCAUAGCUAGAGUACGGUAGAGGGGGAUGGAAUUCCGCGUGUAGCAGUGAAAUGCGUAGAUAUGCGGAGGAACACCGAUGGCGAAGGCAAUCCCCUGGACCUGUACUGACGCUCAUGCACGAAAGCGUGGGGAGCAAACAGGAUUAGAUACCCUGGUAGUCCACGCCCUAAACGAUGUCAACUGGUCGUUGGGUCUUCACUGACUCAGUAACGAAGCUAACGCGUGAA